UUUUAUUAUUUUCUUCCUCAUUUCAUUGAAAAAUUAUCAGACUGUCGAUCGUUUUAAUGAAAGAGUGCAGAAAGGAACAGAAAAAAAUUGAAUACUUAGGAGUGGAGAAAGGAAUAUAUUGUAUAGUUCGGCGGUGAGACGUUGAAUGGACCGUAUAUACUUGGUCAUGUUAAAGGAAUUCCCGUAUCAAUUUUACCGCUUUUGUUCCGAUUGUUUAUCCUCCAAGCAAAAGUGACCAAAAUAUUAUUGGAUUAUUUACCCAGCUAUUUAAGAAUUAAAGCAAUAUUAUUUCUUUAGCCCCUGCUUUGUCAAGUCCAGAAGACGAUCGGCAUUAAACGAGAUUGACACGGGGAUCGACCCUCUCCGCCAACCCGCAACCCCCGUGCUUCUUGAAUUUGAAGAAGGAAUAUAAAAAAUAUUUAUUUUCAUAUACUCAGUUUUUGAAGAAAAGGAUUGAGAUCUCAUUCGAUCAAAGAAAAAGAGGUUUUGUUUUUGGAAGAACGAGCUGGAUACUUCUGAAGUUGAAAAAUGUAUUACAAAAUAUUUAAGAUAUCGUGGAUGAUUUAAAGGACUCUUGACUGAGAUUAAAUGAGAUUUGAUUAAGAUGAUAUCCAUGACAUAAGUAGGUAAUUGAUACUUCGAAUGACUCUUACUAUUCCUGAUGGAUUCCCCGCGAUGACAUCGAAGUUUUUGCUCAAUGGAUUUCUAUUAAUUCUAGUCGGGAUUCUUGUUUUGCCGGUGGAAAGCACGUGGUGGUUUAUCAGUCAGUUGCCGCUCCAUGCCGUAGGCGCGGGGGUGUUGUGUGAUAACAUUCCGGGACUCGCCGGUCGCCAGCGCCGCCUCUGUCGGAUGCAUCCGGGGGUGAUGGUCAGUCUCGGGGAGGGGGCCAAGAUGGGCAUCAAGGAAUGCCAGAGCCAGUUCCGGUUUCAUCGCUGGAACUGCAGUACUCUGGACAGGGACGCGUCUGUGUUCGGGAAAGUUAUGUUGAAAGGGAGCCGAGAGUCUGCCUUUGUGUAUGCCAUCUCCUCGGCGGGAGUUGUUCACGCCAUCACACGAGCUUGCAGCAAGGGUAACCUACUACAAUGUGGGUGUGACCCCACCAAGGUGGGAAAAGGGAGGGACAAGUCGGGCUGGUUUGAGUGGGGAGGAUGCAGCGACAAUGUGCGGUGGGCCAGCCAUUUCUCCCGGAUGUUUAUUGAUGCAAGAAGUUUAUGAAACUCGCCUGUAAGUGUCAUGGCGUGAGCGGUGCUUGUACCAUUAGAACCUGUUGGCAAGCUAUGCAACCUUUCCGACGUGUUGGAGAAUACCUGAAGCGGAAGUACAACGGCGCCACCCACGUCAUGAUUGACCAAGGGGGCUCAGGAAUAGUUGUCGCAAAUCACCAUUUCAAGAAACCAACACGGAAGGAUUUAGUUUAUAUGGAGGCCUCUCCAGAUUACUGUGUACGGGACCUUUCUAUUGGGUCACUUGGUACAGCAGGUCGCCAGUGCAACAAGGCAUCACUGGGGACAGACGGAUGUGACAUCAUGUGUUGUGGGCGGGGCUACGACACAGAGACUGUGACGCAAUUUGACAAAUGUCACUGUAAAUUCCACUGGUGUUGCCAUGUCAAAUGUAAACUUUGUUCCAAGCGCGUGGAUAUUCAUACUUGUAAGGGACCUGGUCUCCAUGAUAAUGGCAAUUCUCUGAAUGGAUAAAAGUUUUCCAUCUUGUAAUGUCACCCACUUUGGAAAGUGCAAUUUUAAGGAGUGCUAUAGGACUGUGAUGUCAGGUGACUUGGCACCGUCACAAUAGUGACAAAAGAACGCGAAAAUUUUGAAUACAGUAUUUAUUGAAAUAUUUAUAUUGGCUUUGUUUAUAUCGUAUUUAUUUGUUUUUCUAUUGUUAUGUUUCACGUUUCUCAAUCUUAUACAUUAUGUAUUAAAAUAUGUUCUCAUUAAAAAUCAAGAUAAAUCAUCGAUUCAU
rnacentral:misc_RNA from 1 species